rnacentral:misc_RNA from 1 species
UACAGAGGGUGCAAACGUUGUUCGGAAUUACUGGGCGUAAAGCGCGUGUAGGCGGCCCUGCAAGUCGGAUGUGAAAUCCCACGGCUCAACCGUGGAAGUGCAUUCGAAACUGCGGGGCUAGAGUACUGGAGAGGAAGGUGGAAUGCUCGGUGUAGAGGUGAAAUUCGUAGAUAUCGAGCGGAACACCGGUGGCGAAGGCGGCCUUCUGGACAGUAACUGACGCUGAGACGCGAAAGCGUGGGGAGCAAACAGG